rnacentral:rRNA from 21 species
CCUGGCGGCCGUAGCGCGGUGGUCCCACCUGACCCCAUGCCGAACUCAGAAGUGAAACGCCGUAGCGCCGAUGGUAGUGUGGGGUCU